AGAGAGUUAAAAGCACGUGAAGCCGUUGAAAGGGAAACGCGCUCGGCUAGCAAUGUGCCACGACGGUUCAGCCGUUUUGGGCGGUGAGGUGGUGCUGUCGGAUCCGAAUGGACCGCUGUAGUGCCGUCGCUGUCCGAGACGCGGUGCACUCUUUCGUGGUACGCGUCAGCGUCGGUUCGCAGCGGGCGAUGAGGCCUUGCGGAAGGUAGCUCGGAGCUUGCUCUGAGUGUUAUAGACGCAGGUGCUGGGUCCGCUGCGGACCGAGGAGAGAGAGUAUCGUUGCAGCGCAUGCCGCAAGGCUAGCUACCCGCUGUCUGGCUCGCUUCACGAACUGAGGACUGCACGCAGUGCUCGGAUUGGCGGAGUGGUCAGGCGGUGGAGUGGUAUAAAUGCGCUUAGGACGCUGGCGUCCAAAUGGCCGUGCGCGACCCGUCUUGAAACAGCGGAA
rnacentral:rRNA from 1 species